rnacentral:rRNA from 1 species
UACGUAGGGUGCGAGCGUUAAUCGGAAUUACUGGGCGUAAAGCGUGCGCAGGCGGCGCGUUAAGACAGGUGUGAAAGCCCCGAGCUUAACUUGGGAAUUGCGCUUGUGACUGGCGUGCUGGAGUGUGGCAGAGGGAGGUGGAAUUCCACGUAUAGCAGUGAAAUGCGUAGAGAUGUGGAGGAACACCGAUGGCGAAGGCAGCCUCCUGGGCCAGCACUGACGCUCAUGCACGAAAGCGUGGGGAGCAAACAGG